GUGCUUGCUUCGGCAGCACAUAUACUAAAAUUGGAAUGAUACAGAGAAGAUUAGCAUGACCCCUGCACAAGGAGGCCAUGCAGAUUUAUGAAGCGUUCCAUAUUUUU